CCUACGGGAGGCAGCAGUGAGGAAUAUUGGUCAAUGGACGAGAGUCUGAACCAGCCAAGUAGCGUGAAGGAUGACUGCCCUAUGGGUUGUAAACUUCUUUUAUAUGGGAAUAAAAUGUUCCACGUGUGGGAUUUUGUAUGUACCAUAUGAAUAAGGAUCGGCCAACUCCGUGCCAGCAGCCGCGGUAAUACGGAGGAUCCGAGCGUUAUCCGGAUUUAUUGGGUUUAAAGGGAGCGUAGGUGGAUUGUUAAGUCAGUUGUGAAAGUUUGCGGCUCAACCGUAAAAUUGCAGUUGAAACUGGCAGUCUUGAGUACAGUAGAGGUGGGCGGAAUUCGUGGUGUAGCGGUGAAAUGCUUAGAUAUCACGAAGAACUCCGAUUGCGAAGGCAGUUCACUGGACUGCAACUGACACUGAGGCUCGAAAGUGUGGGUAUCAAACAGGAUUAGAUACCCCAGUAGUC
rnacentral:rRNA from 1 species